rnacentral:rRNA from 1 species
CAAAAACAUGUCCUUUAGAAUUUAAUUUAAGGUCUGGCCUGCCCAGUGAUUAAUUUAACGGCCGCGGUAAAUUGACCGUGCAAAGGUAGCAUAAUCAUUAGUCUUUUAAUAGAGGGCUGGUAUGAAAGGUUUGACGAAGAAUUUUCUGUCUCAUUUUAUAUGUUGUAAAAUUUUAUUUUUUAGUCAAAAAGCUAAAAUUAUAUUGGAAGACGAGAAGACCCUAUAGAUCUUUAUAAAUAAUUAUUUAUUUAAUUUUAUAUAAAUAUUGUUAUUUAAUUAUUUAUUUUGUUGGGGUGACAAAAAUAUAUAAUUAACUUUUUUAUUAACUUUACAUUGAUUUAUGAAUAGUAGAUCCAUUAUUAUUGAUUGCUAGAACAAGUUACCUUAGGGAUAACAGCGUAAUCCUUCUCCAGAGUUCAUAUUUACAGAAGGGCUUGCGACCUCGAUGUUGGAUUAAGAUAAUAAUUAGGUGCAGCCACUUAAUUUAUAGGUCUGUUCGACCUUUAAAAUCUUACAUGAUCUGAU